GGAUGAACGAGACGGCGUGCUAAACACAUGCAAGUCGAACGAAGCUACCAGGAGGAAGUUUUCGGAUGGAAUUUUAGGUAGUUUAGUGGCGGACGGGUGAGUAACGCGUGGAUAACCUGCCUUAUACAGGGGGAUAACGGAGAGAAAUUUCCGCUAACACCGCAUAAGACCACAGCACCGCAUGGUGCAGGGGUAAAAUAUUUAUAGGUAUAAGAUGGAUCCGCGUCCGAUUAGCUAGUUGGUGAGGUAAAGGCCCACCAAGGCGACGAUCGGUAGCCGGCCUGAGAGGGUGAACGGCCACAUUGGGACUGAGACACGGCCCAAACUCCUACGGGAGGCAGCAGUGGGGAAUAUUGGACAAUGGGGGAAACCCUGAUCCAGCGACGCCGCGUGAGUGAAGAAGUAUUUCGGUAUGUAAAGCUCUAUCAGCAGGGAAGAAAAUGACGGUACCUGACUAAGAAGCCCCGGCUAACUACGUGCCAGCAGCCGCGGUAAUACGUAGGGGGCAAGCGUUAUCCGGAUUUACUGGGUGUAAAGGGAGCGCAGACGGCAAUGCAAGUCUGAAGUGAAAGGCGUGGGCUCAACCCAUGAACUGCUUUGGAAACUGUAUAGCUUGAGUGUCGGAGGGGUAAGCGGAAUUCCUAGUGUAGCGGUGAAAUGCGUAGAUAUUAGGAGGAACACCGGAGGCGAAGGCGGCUUACUGGACGACAACUGACGUUGAGGCUCGAAGGCGUGAGGAGCAAACAGG
rnacentral:rRNA from 1 species